UGCCCGAAAGGGUGACGAAGCGACGCCGCGUGAGUGAGGAGGGCCUUCGGGUUGUAAAGCUCUGUCAGGAGUUAAGAAAUAUAAGUGUGCUAAUACCACAUUUAUUUGACAAAGGCUCCAAAGGAAGCCACGGCUAACUCUGUGCCAGCAGCCGCGGUAAUACAGAGGUGGCAAGCGUUGUUCGGAAUUAUUGGGCGUAAAGAGCACGUAGGUGGGUUUGUAAGUCAGAUGUGAAAGCCUUCUGUUCAACGGAAGAAUUGCAUCUGAAACUGCGAGUCUUGAGUGUAGGAGGGGAGAAUGGAACUUCUGGUGGAGCGGUGAAAUGCGUAGAUAUCAGAAGGAACGCCGGCGGCGAAAGCGAUUCUCUGGCCUAUUACUGACACUCAGUGUGCGAAAGCUAGGGGAGCAAACGGGAUUAGAUACCCCGGUAGUCCUAACCGUAAACGAUGGGCACUAAGUAGAGGGGCAUU
rnacentral:rRNA from 1 species